rnacentral:rRNA from 1 species
AGUGAACGCUGGCGGUAGGCCUAACACAUGCAAGUCGAACGGCAGCACAGUAAGAGCUUGCUCUUACGGGUGGCGAGUGGCGGACGGGUGAGGAAUACAUCGGAAUCUACUUUUUCGUGGGGGAUAACGUAGGGAAACUUACGCUAAUACCGCAUACGACCUACGGGUGAAAGCAGGGGAUCUUCGGACCUUGCGCGAUUGAAUGAGCCGAUGUCGGAUUAGCUAGUUGGCGGGGUAAAGGCCCACCAAGGCGACGAUCCGUAGCUGGUCUGAGAGGAUGAUCAGCCACACUGGAACUGGAACACGGUCCAGACUCCUACGGGAGGCAGCAGUGGGGAAUAUUGGACAAUGGGCGCAAGCCUGAUCCAGCCAUACCGCGUGGGUGAAGAAGGCCUUCGGGUUGUAAAGCCCUUUUGUUGGGAAAGAAAAGCAGCAGGUUAAUACCCCGCGGUUCUGACGGUACCCAAAGAAUAAGCACCGGCUAACUUCGUG